rnacentral:rRNA from 1 species
CCUACGGGUGGCUGCAGUGGGGAAUAUUGGACAAUGGGGGGAACCCUGAUCCAGCCAUGCCGCGUGUGUGAAGAAUGCCCUCGGGGUGUAAAGCACUUUCAGUGAGGAAGAACGCCUGGUGGUUAAUACCCAUCAGGAAAGACAUCACUCACAGAAGAAGCACCGGCUAACUCCGUGCCAGCAGCCGCGGUAAUACGGAGGGUGCGAGCGUUAAUCGGAAUUACUGGGCGUAAAGCGCGCGUAGGUGGCUUGAUAAGCCGGUUGUGAAAGCCCCGGGCUCAACCUGGGAACGGCAUCCGGAACUGUCAAGCUAGAGUGCAGGAGAGGAAGGUAGAAUUCCCGGUGUAGCGGUGAAAUGCGUAGAGAUCGGGAGGAAUACCAGUGGCGAAGGCGGCCUUCUGGACUGACACUGACACUGAGGUGCGAAAGCGUGGGUAGCAAACAGGAUUAGAUACCCGAGUAGUC